rnacentral:lncRNA from 1 species
UACUACACUACAAUACAAUAUACUACAAUACAAUAUACUACAAUACAAUAUACUACAAUGCAAUACAAUACAGUACAAAGCAGAACAACAAAACACAACAGAUACAUUUUUACAAAUCCUUUUUGACACCGAAUAAGCUAUCUAUUUAUAUUUUAAUAAAUUUACACUUUUUUUUAUGCUUUUUAUUUUAUUAAUCCGCAUUACAUAAGCUAUUCAAAUUUAUUUCUAUUUUUUUAUUUUUAAUUGAACAAAUAAGCAUAUUCAUAAAAUAUGUACAUACAUACACAUAUAUAUAUAUAUAUAUAUAUGUAUGUAUAUAUAGCAAAUAAAAUGAUUGAUUAAAUACUUUAAGAUAGUUCUAUAACUAUAACUUACUUUUUUUUGUGUAAUUAAUAAAAAAAAUAAAAUAUAUGUAUGCAUGAUUUUACAACUUCGUUUUUCACACAUUUAUUUUAAUUGUAAAUUAUAUACAUGUUAACACACAAAACAUCCCAAAUGACACCAGUGUGUUAGUUUUGCUCAACCAUUGUUAUUAUAUUUAUAUACAAAUAAGCUGUAACGAAAAAAAAAAAAAAAAAAAAAAAAAAAAAUGUGUACAUAUAUACAUACAUAUUUUGUGUACUUCUUAAGCUCCAAAUAGGUAUUUUUCUAUUUAUAAUAUACGAAUUAUAAAUGAAACUAUCAUAUUUUUAAAAAAAGUUUCUGUUGUCUUUUAUUUGUAUGACAAUACUAAAUAUAUAAAUUUUAAUUUUAUUCAAGACAGAAAAAACUUUAUUGCUUCUUAUAUUUUUACUUUUUAUUAAUAAAUAUUAACACUGGAAAAAUAAGAAAAAAAAAUGAAUAAAAAUGAUGCAAACAAUUUUUUAUGCCACUUUGACUUUUCUUCAUUAGAAGAAUUAAAUCCGUCACUGGUUGAUGGUUAUUAUAUAUAUUACAGUAAGGAAGUACCAUGCGAAAUACGAAAACAAACGUCAGAACAUUUUUCACAAGAAGUUGGAGUAUUUGAAACUCUAAAUGUACAAAUUUUUGUUUUAGGAGAAGAAUUCAAUGCUAAGAGUGUAAAGAUUGAGUUAACAAGUGAAACCAAUCUAUUUUUUCACUUCACUCAAACGUUUUUAGCAAUAUUUACCAAAAAAAUAAAUGGGAUGGGUCAAUUAAAUUUUGUAAAGAACAUGCAAUACAAAUUCAUUGAUCUCCUGGUAUGCGAUUUUAUUGAGUCCAACGAAGAUACAAUUAAAGAAAGUAUUACAUAUAGAUAUAAUGUCAGUAAAUCUAAAAAUUCUAUUAUGAAUAAAAGGCUUCAAGAUAUAAGCCUUUUAAUUAAGUCUAAAAACCCAUCCCUUUUAAUGCAACUUCAAAAAACAGCCAUGAAACAACUGGAUAUGAUCAAUAAUAAAAACAAUACAAAAAAUAUCUGUAAUCAAAAAUGGAUAUAGUAAGUGAAUAAUUCUGGCUUUUUUUUUUUAUCACAAGAUAUCACUUCAUGAUAAGAAAAAAGGGUAUAUACGCAUAGGUAUGUACGUACUUUUAUAUAUCUACAUAUAUGUAAGUAUGUACCUACAUACAUUUUUUUGUGCUCAUACAAUAUAACUGAAAUUGUUAAUACAUUUUUAAAAUGGUAAUUUUUUGACAUGGUAAUUUUUUGACAUGGUAAUUUUUUGACAUGNNNNNNNNNNUAAUUUUUUGACAUGGUAAUUUUUUGACAUGGUAAUUUUUUGACAUGAUAAUUUUUUGACAUGGUAAUUUUUUAACAUGGUAAUUUUAUUUAUGUUCAAUUUGUGAUUUUAUUUAUUUUUUUAUUAUUUUUAGUUUUGUUUCAAUCAAUGUUUAUAACUUUUUUGAAAUAUCUCAAAAAAAAAAAAUAUAUAUAUAUGUACAAAAAUAACCUUUACAUGAAAAUAAUGUGAUUGUAAAAAAAAAAAAAAAAAAAAGCGCUUUAUAGUUGAUAGUAAGGUUAUAAUAACAUUAAAAGGGUAUUACAACGCUUGGGUGCUUUUUUUUUUUAUCUUUUUAAGAAUAAUGUAAUGUUGUUUUACUAUUUUAAAUAUAAACAUAUAUUUUAUUUGCAUUUAUUGACAUGCCACUUUGCAUUUGUAUAAUUACGUAUAAGGGUAUGCAAAUUUCAUAUGGUUUAGUGUCCUAUUGUUAAAUGUCAUUUUUUUUUUUUUUAAUUUUAUAAUGCUUCAUAAAAAAAAAAAAAAAAAAAUAUAUAAUACAUAAAUAUAAUAUGAAUAAAUGAACACAAGUUUGUAAAUAUAAAAACA